GGUUAGCUGGUAAAAUUGGUAAUGCGUUGGACUAGCAAUCCAAAGAUGUGGGUUCGAGUCCCACUUUAGCCA